UACGGGGGGGGCAAGCGUUGUUCGGAAUUACUGGGCGUAAAGGGCUCGUAGGUGGUCAACUAAGUCGGACGUGAAAUCCCUCGGCUUAACCGGGGAACUGCGUCCGAUACUGGAUGACUUGAGUUCGGGAGAGGGAUGCGGAAUUCCUGGUGUAGCGGUGAAAUGCGCAGAUAUCAGGAGGAACACCGGUGGCGAAGGCGGAUCUCUGGGCCAUUACUGACGCUGAGGAGCGAAAGCGUGGGGAGCGAACAGG
rnacentral:rRNA from 1 species